UGCCUACGGGGGGCAGCAGUGGGGAAUAUUGCACAAUGGGGGGAACCCUGAUGCAGCGACGCCGCGUGGGUGAGGAAGUACUUCGGUAUGUAAAGCCCUAUCAGCAGGGAAGAAAAUGACGGUACCUGACUAAGAAGCCCCGGCUAACUACGUGCCAGCAGCCGCGGUAAUACGUAGGGGACAAGCGUUAUCCGGAUUUACUGGGUGUAAAGGGAGCGUAGACGGCAGCGCAAGUCUGGAGUGAAAUGCCGGGGCCCAACCCCGGAACUGCUCUGGAAACUGUGAAGCUGGAGUGCAGGAGAGGU
rnacentral:rRNA from 1 species